AUGCUUGUGUUGGCAGCACAUCUAUGAAAAUUGGAAUGAUACAGAGAUUAAUUUAACCCCUGAACAAGGAUGACAUUGGAAUUUGUGAAACAUUCCAUAUUUUU
ensembl:snRNA U6 U6 spliceosomal RNA